UGCCUGAUGGUGUAAUGGUAGCACAACUGGUUUUGGUCCAGUUUGUCUCAGUUCGAGCCCCGGCCAGGCAG
rnacentral:tRNA from 1 species